rnacentral:tRNA from 1 species
GGGGCUGUAGCUCAGUUGGAAGAGUACCUGAAUGGCAUUCAGGGGGCCAGGGGUUCGAGUCCCCUCAGCUCCACCA